rnacentral:lncRNA from 1 species
AGAAUCAGGUCCAAUCCAGACGUUAUCAGACUGCAGGCCUGUAUUUUGUGAGCCAACAUUAAUGUUUACUGCCAGCCUUGCAUAGCAGUGCCGGUUGCGACUGCAUGUGACUUUUAGUAACUGUAGUUUAUGUCUAAAAGCAGUUCAAGUUUUAUAGAGGUAAUUCAUGAUUAUUUGAACAAGCAGGGUGGGUAAUUCAAAUAUAUUUAAAGUGCAAUUAAGGAAAUUCUAGGGUAUAAUAUUCUUUCCAGUUUUAAAAAAAAUAGUUAAGGAUUUUUAGAAUGUCCUAGAAUGAAAAAAAUUUUUUUUGGACAGACUUUUUAAAAAACAAGGUUUAUACAGAUUUUUUUUUUUAAUUCAAGGUUUGCUACUUUGUGUUUAUUUAAAUUUGCAAAGAGAAACCGAAGCCUCCUAGGAAAGAGUUGCAUUGUUAUUUUUCUCCUGCUAGUCUGAAUGUGCAUUUUCACAGCUAAAAGUCACUUGUAAAUAAGGUUUGUUACCACAUUCGAAGCCCAUGUUUUCUAAAUGGAGAACAUUUUCCCAGAAUCAAAGAGACAUAGACCCACUGUCUACACAAAGAAAGAAAGCGUACCUGGUGCCUUCUCAAAUAAUUGUAGAGUCAAAGUGAACGUGUUCCAAGUCUGCCCCACCCCACCCCCUCUCCUGUUCCUCGGGUUCUCUGUGACCUACCUGUCCCUCCCACAGACGGUCACAGGAUUUGCUUCUGCCCUUUCAGUUCUACUUGACCAAACCUCACAGCAUCACCAGUGACGUUCUUCACUGAAUACAUUUUCUCUUUCACUUAUUUCACUUUUUAAAGCCACCUGGGAAAAUAUUUGGCUGCCUUCUUAUGCUUUUAAAAUGAAUGCAAUUAUUAGCAGUGUUUAUAUUUGAAAGUUUAUAAAGGAAAGAAAUUCAGAGCUAAGGACUGACUCUUAAUUGGAUCUAAUUCCCUGUGUGUUACGAUAGCAGCACAAGUUAUGUAACCUUGUGUAGUUUUCUCUUGUACAAAAUGUGGAUGAUAACCUACCUCACAGAUGUGUGUGAGAAGCCGUUUCAAAGCCCCUAAGUAGGGGUUUAUAGUCCCAUCCUCAGUGUCAAUCCUCCCUUUUUUACUAGACACCUUUGAGAAUGGUAGGAUGAGUAUCUUGUUUUUAGAUGUCAUAUGUAAUAAGGGCAUAGUGCUGAGAAUGUUUAAGACACAGUUUCACAAAUCAUAGUGUUCUUACUGUAAGACACUUAAAAAUUUCUUGAAAACCUCAAAUGUUUAAAUAUCGAAUCUGUCUUUUGUUUCAAUAAAUAUUGUUAUUCAAAGUGUUGUCUGAAGCUGCCUUAAUGUACCAAAAUACAACUGUCAAAACUGUUCACAACUAUAUUCAUGGUUGUACUGUUUUGAGUGUUCAUUUUGAAGUUGCUAUGAACUAUGACCUUGAAGGAUAGUAUUUUGAUAUUAUUUUGGUAGGAAUAGUUGUGGUUUUUUUUUUCAUCAUGUUUAACAGUGACUUUUGUGUGUAAAAAAUAAAACUGAAACUUGGCAGAUACUAGGUUGUGUCCAUGAUCAUCACGUAGUGUAUUACUGGAUAGUAAUAAUUUGACUUGCUUUUCUGGGGCACCAUGCAUUCGUUCUUAGCCUAUACAAUAGUCCCAUAAUAUAUGGCGCAGUGGCAGAGUACAUCUCUAUUUAAAAACAUUGUUAAAUUAUUGAAAUUGGGACUACUUUUUAUAAUCAGUUUCAGAACAGAAACCAACAGAUUUACAGUUAUUUUAUUUAAAUAACUGUAGAUUAUAAUUUUAGUUUUAUUUGUUACAUAUUCUUAUGAGUUCAAUGAUCAGUGAAAAGGGUCAUCUUUAGUAACCGUAUAGAAAAGAGAGUGAGUUGCAUAGCAGUUCCUAUGUGCAGGCUCCCUCUGAUUAAUGUUUGCACUUGUAUGGAACUCCUUGGCAACAAACACAAGAGGAAAGUGGCCUGUCUAAUUGCGCGUCUGCAUUUUCCACAAAAUCAAAUUAAAGUGUGGUUAAUUU